UGUGAGACGGUGACAAUGGUGGCAA
rnacentral:piRNA from 1 species